rnacentral:rRNA from 1 species
ACGCUGGCGGCGUGCUUAACACAUGCAAGUCGAACGAUGAAGCCUAGCUUGCUAGGUGGAUUAGUGGCGAACGGGUGAGUAAUACGUGAGUAACCUACCUUUAACUCUGGGAUAAGCCUGGGAAACUGGGUCUAAUACCGGAUACGACCAAUCUCCGCAUGGGGUGUUGGUGGAAAGCGUUAUGUAGUGGUUAUAGGUGGGCUCACGGCCUAUCAGCUUGUUGGUGAGGUAACGGCUCACCAAGGCGACGACGGGUAGCCGGCCUGAGAGGGUGACCGGCCACACUGGGACUGAGACACGGCCCAGACUCCUACGGGAGGCAGCAGUGGGGAAUAUUGCACAAUGGGCGCAAGCCUGAUGCAGCGACGCCGCGUGAGGGAUGACGGCCUUCGGGUUGUAAACCUCUGUUAGCAGGGAAGAAGAGAGAUUGACGGUACCUGCAGAGAAAGCGCCGGCUAACUACGUGCCAGCAGCCGCGGUAAUACGUAGGGGGCGAGCGUUGUCCGGAAUUAUUGGGCGUAAAGAGCUUGUAGGCGGUUUGUCGCGUCUGCUGUGAAAGGCCGGAGCUUAACUCCGUGUAUUGCAGUGGGUACGGGCAGACUAGAGUGCAGUAGGGGAGACUGGAAUUCCUGGUGUAGCGGUGGAAUGCGCAGAUAUCAGGAGGAACACCGAUGGCGAAGGCAGGUCUCUGGGCUGUAACUGACGCUGAGAAGCGAAAGCAUGGGGAGCGAACAGGAUUAGAUACCCUGGUAGUCCAUGCCGUAAACGUUGGGCACUAGGUGUGGGGGACAUUCCACGUUUUCCGCGCCGUAGCUAACGCAUUAAGUGCCCCGCCUGGGGAGUACGGCCGCAAGGCUAAAACUCAAAGAAAUUGACGGGGGCCCGCACAAGCGGCGGAGCAUGCGGAUUA